GCACAGAAAAAUAGUUCGGGGCGGAUGAAGAUCAGAAGGCUUGCCCAUUGAAGCUUGAAGUAUGCAUUCGGGAAUCAAUUGACUGGCUUUUCCAAAGGCUCCAGGUUCAGCCUCCCUGUCCAGCGUCUGUCAUCUGGUAGGAUCCCUUCUCCUGUAAAGAGAACCCCUCCCACCCUAAAUAAUGAGGAGUCAAUCAGUAAAGAUCAAAGCUACGGUAGGUGCUUGGGAUCUCAAUCCUCUGGCUAAUGACAAGCCUUUGGAGAGGGGCUCCAAGGAGUCCCUUGAUGUUCCUCCGGGAUCACGGGAAGCAGAACAGAUGGUACGCUCAGGAGAACAGCGAUG